rnacentral:rRNA from 3 species
AGACCCGAAACCCGGUGAUCUAGCCAUGGGCAGGUUGAAGGUUGGGUAACACUAACUGGAGGACCGAACCGACUAAUGUUGAAAAAUUAGCGGAUGACCUGUGGCUGGGGGUGAAAGGCCAAUCAAACCGGGAGAUAGCUGGUUCUCCCCGAAAGCUAUUUAGGUAGCGCCUCGUGAAUUCAUCUCCGGGGGUAGAGCACUGUUUCGGCUAGGGGGCCAUCCCGGCUUACCAACCCGAUGCAAACUGCGAAUACCGGAGAAUGUUAUCACGGGAGACACACGGCGGGUGCUAACGUCCGUCGUGAAGAGGGAAACAACCCAGACCGCCAGCUAAGGUCCCAAAGUCAUGGUUAAGUGGGAAACGAUGUGGGAAGGCCCAGACAGCCAGGAUGUUGGCUUAGAAGCAGCCAUCAUUUAAAGAAAGCGUAAUAGCUCACUGGUCGAGUCGGCCUGCGCGGAAGAUGUAACGGGGCUAAACCAUGCACCGAAGCUGCGGCAGCGAACGUAUCACCCAAGACAACUUUACGGAGUUGACGAUUGACGGAGCGAAGCGACGUCAAAGCGUUCAUUAAAGUCGAGUUGGCUUAGGGAUACGUUCGUUGGGUAGGGGAGCGUUCUGUAAGCCUGUGAAGGUGUGUCGUGAGGCAUGCUGGAGGUAUCAGAAGUGCGAAUGCUGACAUAAGUAACGAUAAAGCGGGUGAAAAGCCCGCUCGCCGGAAGACCAAGGGUUCCUGUCCAACGUUAAUCGGGGCAGGGUGAGUCGACCCCUAAGGCGAGGCCGAAAGGCGUAGUCGAUGGGAAACGGGUUAAUAUUCCCGUACUUGGUGUUACUGCGAAGGGGGGACGGAGAAGGCUAUGUUGGCCGGGCGACGGUUGUCCCGGUUUAAGCGUGUAGGUGUGUGUUCCAGGUAAAUCCGGUUCACUUUAACACUGAGGCGUGAUGACGAGGCACUACGGUGCUGA